CGGCAGCCCAAGUGAUGGCCGAUAUUAUUGGGCCUAAAGCGUCCGUAGCUGGCCGGACAAGUCCGUUGGGAAAUCCGCACGCUUAACGUGCGGGCGUCCAGCGGAAACUGUCCGGCUUGGGACCGGAAGACCCGAGGGGUACGUCCGGGGUAGGAGUGAAAUCCUGUAAUCUCGGACGGACCACCUGUGGCGAAAGCGCCUCGGGAAGACGGAUCCGACAGUGAGGGACGAAAGCCAGGGUCUCGAACCGGAUUAGAUACCCGGGUAGUCCUGGCCGUAAACGAUGUCCGCUAGGUGUGACGCAGGCUACGAGCCCUGCGUUGUGCCGUAGGGAAGCCGUGAAGCGGACCGCCUGGGAAGUACGUCUGCAAGGAUG
rnacentral:rRNA from 1 species